rnacentral:rRNA from 1 species
GUCGACGCGCAGCGAGAGGUGCUUGCACCUUUCAGCGAGUGGCGAACGGGUGAGUAACACGUGGAUAACCUGCCUCAAGGCUGGGGAUAACAUUUGGAAACAGAUGCUAAUACCGAAUAAAACUUAGUAUCGCAUGAUAUCAAGUUAAAAGGCGCUACGGCGUCACCUAGAGAUGGAUCCGCGGUGCAUUAGUUAGUUGGUGGGGUAAAGGCUUACCAAGACGAUGAUGCAUAGCCGAGUUGAGAGACUGAUCGGCCACAUUGGGACUGAGACACGGCCCAAACUCCUACGGGAGGCUGCAGUAGGGAAUCUUCCACAAUGGGCGCAAGCCUGAUGGAGCAACGCCGCGUGUGUGAUGAAGGCUUUCGGGUCGUAAAGCACUGUUGUAUGGGAAGAAAUGCUAAAAUAGGGAAUGAUUUUAGUUUGACGGUACCAUACCAGAAAGGGACGGCUAAAUACGUGCCAGCAGCCGCGGUAAUACGUAUGUCCCGAGCGUUAUCCGGAUUUAUUGGGCGUAAAGCGAGCGCAGACGGUUGAUUAAGUCUGAUGUGAAAGCCCGGAGCUCAACUCCGGAAUGGCAUUGGAAACUGGUUAACUUGAGUGUUGUAGAGGUAAGUGGAACUCCAUGUGUAGCGGUGGAAUGCGUAGAUAUAUGGAAGAACACCAGUGGCGAAGGCGGCUUACUGGACAACAACUGACGUUGAGGCUCGAAAGUGUGGGUAGCAAACAGGAUUAGAUACCCUGGUAGUCCACACCGUAAACGAUGAAUACUAGGUGUUAGGAGGUUUCCGCCUCUUAGUGCCGAAGCUAACGCAUUAAGUAUUCCGCCUGGGGAGUACGACCGCAAGGUUGAAACUCAAAGGAAUUGACGGGGACCCGCACAAGCGGUGGAGCAUGUGGUUUAAUUCGAAGCAACGCGAAGAACCUUACCAGGUCUUGACAUCCUUUGAAGCUUUUAGAGAUAGAAGUGUUCUCUUCGGAGACAAAGUGACAGGUGGUGCAUGGUCGUCGUCAGCUCGUGUCGUGAGAUGUUGGGUUAAGUCCCGCAACGAGCGCAACCCUUAUUGUUAGUUGCCAGCAUUCAGUUGGGCACUCUAGCGAGACUGCCGGUGACAAACCGGAGGAAGGCGGGGACGACGUCAGAUCAUCAUGCCCCUUAUGACCUGGGCUACACACGUGCUACAAUGGCGUAUACAACGAGUUGCCAACCUGCGAAGGUGAGCUAAUCUCUUAAAGUACGUCUCAGUUCGGACUGCAGUCUGCAACUCGACUGCACGAAGUCGGAAUCGCUAGUAAUCGCGGAUCAGCACGCCGCGGUGAAUACGUUCCCGGGUCUUGUACACACCGCCCGUCACACCAUGGGAGUUUGUAAUGCCCAAAGCCG